rnacentral:tRNA from 1 species
GGCCUCGUAGCUCAGUUGGCUAGUACCUUGGCUGUACUAAAGCCUUCCCCUUGCUGGCAUGGGUUCGAAUCCCACCGAGGCCG